CCUACGGGUGGCUGCAGUGAGGAAUAUUGGUCAAUGGACGAGAGUCUGAACCAGCCAAGUAGCGUGAAGGAUGACUGCACUAUGGGUUGUAAGCUUCUUUUAUAUGGGAAUAAAAUGUUCCACGUGUGGGAUUUUGUAUGUACCAUAUGAAUCCGGAUCGGCUAACGCUGUGCCAGCAGCCGCGGUAAUACGGAGGAUCCGAGCGUUAUCCGGAUUUAUUGGGUUUAAAGGGACCGUAGGUGGAUUGUUAAGUCAGUCGUGAAAGUUUGCGGCUCAACCGUAAAAUUGCAGUUGAAACUGGCAGGCUUGAGUACAGUAGAGGUGAGCGGAAUUCGUGGUGUAGCGGUGAAAUGCGUAGAUAUCACGAAGAACUCCGAUUGCGAAGGCAGCUCACUGGACUGCAACUGACACUGAGGCUCGAAAGUGUGGGUAUCAAACAGGAUUAGAUACCCUUGUAGUC
rnacentral:rRNA from 1 species